AUUGAACGCUGGCGGCAGGCCUAACACAUGCAAGUCGAGCGGCAGCGGAAAGUAGCUUGCUACUUUGCCGGCGAGCGGCGGACGGGUGAGUAAUGUCUGGGAAACUGCCUGAUGGAGGGGGAUAACUACUGGAAACGGUAGCUAAUACCGCAUAACGUCGCAAGACCAAAGAGGGGGACCUUCGGGCCUCUUGCCAUCAGAUGUGCCCAGAUGGGAUUGGCUAGUAGGUGGGGUAAUGGCUCACCUAGGCGACGAUCCCUAGCUGGUCUGAGAGGAUGAACAGCCACACUGGAACUGAGACACGGUCCAGACUCCUACGGGAGGCAGCAGUGGGGAAUAUUGCACAAUGGGCGCAAGCCUGAUGCAGCCAUGCCGCGUGUAUGAAGAAGGCCUUCGGGUUGUAAAGUACUUUCAGCGGGGAGGAAGGUGUUGAGGUUAAUAAUCUCAGCAAUUGACGUUACCCGCAGAAGAAGCACCGGCUAACUCCGUGCCAGCAGCCGCGGUAA
rnacentral:rRNA from 1 species